UGGCUAUGAUGAAACAUUUUCCAAACAUCUGCAGUUUCCACCAUAGAGACCUGCUGGUCUCAAUGAUGGUACACACUUCCUUGGAUGUCUGAGCCA